UCCCUGGUGGCUCAGUUGGUAAAGAAUCCACCUGCAAUGUGGGAGAUCUGGGUUCUAUUCCUGGGUUGGGAA
rnacentral:tRNA from 1 species